rnacentral:rRNA from 1 species
GGCCUACCAUGGUGGUAACGGGUAACGGGGUGUUAGGGCACGACACCGGAGAGGGAGCCUGAGAAACGGCUACCACAUCCAAGGAUGGCAGCAGGCGCGCAAAUUACCCAAUCCCGACACGGGGAGGUAGUGACAAUAAAUAACAAUACGGGGUUCUUUCGGAUCUCGUAAUUGGAAUGAGUACAAUUUAAAUCUCUUAACGAGGAACAAUUGGAGGGCAAGUCUGGUGCCAGCAGCCGCGGUAAUUCCAGCUCCAAUAGCGUAUAUUAAAGUUGUUGCAGUUAAAAAGCUCGUAGUUGAAUUUCGGGAUCAUCAUGUCGGUCGUGCCUCCGGUACGUACUGGCAUCGUUGAUUUCUACCUUCUGACGAACUAUGAUGUCAUUAAUUUGGUGUCAUGGGGAAUCAGGACUGUUACUUUGAAAAAAUUAGAGUGUUUAAAGCAGGCACACGCUUGAAUACAUUAGCAUGGAAUAAUGAAAUAGGACGUUUGACCCUAUUUUGUUGGUUUCUAGGAUCGACGUAAUGAUUAAUAGGGAUAGUUGGGGGCAUUAGUAUUCAAUUGUCAGAGGUGAAAUUCUUGGAUUUAUUGAAGACUAACUACUGCGAAAGCAUUUGCCAAGGAUGUUUUCAUUAAUCAAGAACGAAAGUUAGGGGAUCGAAGACGAUCAGAUACCGUCGUAGUCUUAACCAUAAACUAUGCCGACUAGGGAUCGGAUGAUGUUAAUUUUUUAAUGACUCAUUCGGCGCCUUACG